rnacentral:rRNA from 1 species
UACGUAGGCAGCAAGCGUUGUUCGGAGUUACUGGGCGUAAAGGGUGCGUAGGCGGCUUGGUAAGUGUGGUGUGAAAUCUCCCGGCUCAACUGGGAGGGUGCGCCGAAUACUGAGUGACUCGAGUGCGGGAGAGGAGAGUGGAAUUCCUGGUGUAGCGGUGAAAUGCGUAGAUAUCAGGAGGAACACCGGUGGUGUAGACGGCUCUCUGGACCGUAACUGACGCUGAGACACGAAAGCGUGGGUAGCAAACAGG